rnacentral:tRNA from 1 species
UCCGCCUUAGCUCAGUUGGUAGAGCAUUUGACUGUUUAUCUUUUUUUCGCUGGUUCGAGCCCAGCAGGCGGAGCCA